CCCGCUGAACUUAAGCAUAUUAAUAAGCGGAGGAAAAGAAACUAACAAGGAUUCCCCUAGUAACGGCGAGUGAAGCGGGAAGAGCUCAAGCUUAAAAUCUCCGUGCAAGUUUUGCGCGGCGAAUUGUAGUCUAUAGAGGCGUGAUCAGUGUGGGCGCUUGGGGCAAGUUCCUUGGAAGAGGACAGCAUGGAGGGUGAUACUCCCGUUCAUCCCUGAGUUGCUCGUGCGUACGAUCCGUUUUCUUUGAGUCGCGUUGUUUGGGAAUGCAGCGCAAAGUAGGUGGUAAAUUCCAUCUAAAGCUAAAUAUUGGUGCGAGACCGAUAGCGAACAAGUACCGUGAGGGAAAGAUGAAAAGAACUUUGAAAAGAGAGUUAAAGAGUACCUGAAACUGCUGAAAGGGAACCGAAUCGUUUCCAGUGUCUAUAAUCCGUGGUAUAUUUCAUUGGCGAGUGUGUGCGUGCGUGUGCUGUGGCAGCGGCCUUUUUGGCUGCGCUCGGCGUGUGUGCUGUGUGUGCUUGCUGGUGCCCUGUGCUGCGGUGGGACGUCAAGGUCAGUUCGUAUGCUGCGGGAAAUGGCCGCCGAGGAGGUAGGGCUUACGCUUGCGUUUGUCUGUUAUAUCUUGGUGGACGAGUAGUCGCGGUUGGGACUGAGGUGCCUACAACGUGUUUUUGAGUGGGCCUGUGUCUCUGUGUGCGCCGUGUGCGGAUAGCUUGCUAUGCGUGUGUGGUUGUGUGUGGAUUGAUGUGGGUUUUAACUUGUUGCCGUUCGGGACGUUGACGAAAUGGAGCGAUUUGACCCGUCUUGAAACACGGACCAAGGAGUCUAACAUGUGUGCAAGUGUUAGGGUGUGGAAACCCCAGCGCGAAAUGAAAGUGAAGGGCAGCGUAAGUUGUCUGAGGUAGGAAAUGCUGCGGGCUUCGGUCUGCGGUGUGGCACUAUCGACCGAUCAUGAACCUUCGUGGUGAAAGAUUUGAGUUUGAGCACAUAUGUUGGUACCCGAAAGAUGGUGAACUAUGCCUGAGUAGGGUGAAGCCAGGGGAAACUCUGGUGGAAGCUCGUAGCGAUUCUGACGUGCAAAUCGAUCGUCAAACUUGGGUAUAGGGGCGAAAGACUAAUCGAACCAUCUAGUAGCUGGUUCCCUCCGAAAUUUCCCUCAGGAUAGCAGCAACUUAUUUACGAUAGUUUUAUGAGGUAAAGCGAAUGAUUAGAGGAUUCGGGGAAGAAACUUCCUCGACCUAUUCUCAAACUUUAAAUCUGUAAGACCUGCAGGUUUCUUAAUUGAACUUGUGGAUGUGAAUAUCAAGUUGCUAGUGGGCCAUACGGGGUAAGCUCGUCUGGCG
rnacentral:rRNA from 1 species